rnacentral:rRNA from 1 species
AGAGUUUGAUCCUGGCUCAGAACGAACGCUGGCGGCAGGCUUAACACAUGCAAGUCGAACGCUCGUGAGCGAUCACGGGAGUGGCGGACGGGUGAGUAACGCGUGGGAACAUACCCUUUGGUUCGGAAUAACUUGAGGAAACUUGAGCUAAUACCGGAUACGCCCGGGAGCGAUUCUGGGGAAAGAUUUAUUGCCGAAGG